UUGGAAACGGCUGCUAAUACCGCAUAACGUCGAGAGACCAAAGGGUUUCGACUUGCCAUUUGAUGAGCCCAUAUGAUAUUAGCUAGUUGGUGUGGUAAUGGCUCACCAAGGCGACGAUCUCUAGCUGGUUUGAGAGGAUGACCAGCCACACUGGGACUGAUACACGGCCCACACUCCUACGGGAGGCAUCAGUGGGGAAUAUUGCACAAUGGGGGGAACCCUGAUGCAGCCAUGCCGCGUGUAUGAAUAAGGCCUUAGGGCUGUAAAGUACUUUCGUGGAGGAGGAAGGGUUUACG
rnacentral:rRNA from 1 species